GUGCCAGCCGCCGCGGUAAGACGAAGGAUGCAAGCGUUAUCCGGAUUCAUUGGGUUUAAAGGGAGCGUAGGUGGCCUGAUAAGUCAGUGGUGAAAUCUCUGGGCUCAACCCAGAAAUUGCCAUUGAUACUGUUAGGCUUGAGUAUAGUUGCCGUUGGCGGAAUAUGACAUGUAGUGGUGAAAUACAUAGAGAUGUCAUAGAACACCGAUUGCGAAGGCAGCUAACGAAACUAUAACUGACACUGAGGCUCGAAAGUGCGGGGAUCAAACAGGAUUAGAAACCCGCGUAGUCC
rnacentral:rRNA from 1 species